rnacentral:rRNA from 1 species
GCUCAAGAACUACAAGGAUGACGGGGCCGCACAAGCGGUGGAGUAUGUGGUUUAAUUCGAUGCAACGCGAAGAACCUUACCUGGUCUUGACAUCCCGGAGACCCUUAGGAAACUAGGGGGUGCUUCCAUCUGGAAGAAUCUGGAGACAGGUGCUGCAUGGCUGUCGUCAGCUCGUGUCGUGAGAUGUUGGGUUAAGUCCCGCAACGAGCGCAACCCUUGCCUUUAGUUGCCAGCAGUUCGGCUGGGCACUCUAAAGGGACUGCCGGUGUUAAACCGGAGGAAGGUGGGGAUGACGUCAAGUCCUCAUGGCCUUUAUGACCAGGGCUACACACGUACUACAAUGGCCGAUACAAAGGGCAGCGACACUGCGAGGUGAAGCCAAUCCCGUAAAAUCGGUCUCAGUCCGGAUUGGAGUCUGCAACUCGACUCCAUGAAGUUGGAAUCGCUAGUAAUCGUGGAUCAGCAUGCCACGGUGAAUACGUUCCCGGGCCUU